CAACAAAAUAAAAACAUAAAAAAAAAAACUAAAAAUCAAUCGUUCUUUAUCUUCUCUAAUUUUCCUAAUCAUUCGUCCCUUCCUCUGAAGCAAAGCAAAACGUAUCAAAAAAACAAAAAAUCAAUUGUUCUUCAUCUUCUCGAAUUCUCCUAAUCAUUCGUGCCCCCUUCUGAAGAAAAGCAUUAAAAGUCCCAAACCAAAACGGCAAAACCCUAGCCCUAGAUUCUUUGCCGCCGCCGUCCCCAGGUUCUCAACACUUCCGCUUCUUCCUAUUCCCCCAUUCCGGAAUCCAGGUAGCUCGGCACGUCGUCCCCAUCCUCGCUGGCUUCUUUGUCCGUGGCUUGGACCAGUUCAUCUUCGGGUCACCGCUUGCCAUGGUCUCUGCUCUCGCCGUCAUCUCGCCGGUUGCGGCCGUGUCUCCGUCGAAGGUAUAUAUAUCUUGGGCUAUUCGACAGCGAAGUAGAAGCUGCAAGGUCCUAGUGAUACGUGAAUUAUAUUCUACCUGCACUGAAUUUAUUACCCUGAAUUUUCAAGCUCACUAGGGCUCCAAUCCAACACGUGUAUCCCUUUUGAUUUUCUGGAAUUCAGGGCUUAUGACAAGGCUGCUAUCAAAUGCAAUAGAAGAGAAGCAGUGACUAACUUUGAGCCAAGUACAUAUGAAGGAGAGAUGAAAUCUCCAGCCAUCAAUGAAGGUGGCAUUCCUAAUCUUGAACUUAAUUUGGGCAUAGCAACUCCAGGACAUGGUCUGAAAGAAGAUAGGGGGCAACUCCAGUUCCCCUGGGUCCCUUACAGCAUGCAUGCUGGAAGAACAAUGGUGAAAACCAAUGUUAAGAAAUAGUGACACAUCUUCUGAAGAGACCAUAUUUGAUGAUAACCGUUCCAGCUUAUAACAAACACCAAUAAAUAUGUGUUUGAUGUGGAUAACCUUAUUUAAUUUAUGCUCUUAGCUGUAGAAAAAGGUUGUAGGGGAAUGUUCCAAAUUAUAGAUCAGUAAUUUGUAAAAAUGUAGGGGAUCAUGUGGACCUUAUGCUAAGUGAAUGUUGUUUUUCUUAUUUUAAUUGAAAUUAUCAGGGCUUCCUAAGCUUCAAAUGCUUAAAAUUUACCAA